ACACUUCACUAAAAUGCGAUGUGCGACGCACACAGUACUAUAGUGAUUUGGAUCAGGUGUGCGGUGCGCACCUCAGAGGAAGCUGACAGAUUGGUGCUUCCUUAUAAAUAGUCCCUUGGGUCAGUGACAAAGCCCGUCAAAGCCGAUGCAGCAGCAGUAUACGGCGAAGCCAGAUAGACCUGACCUUCUUUGUGCCCCAUCCUACCGUGAAAGUUCCUAUUUGUGGUAGACACACAGACCAAUGGCUCAUUCAACCGGCCGAGUGUGUCGCGAGGGCCACCCAAACAAGCCCCACAACUAGGGCUUGCAGGGGUGUCGCAGCCAGCUUCCUCGAAUAUCUGAGAACAUGUCUUGCCACCGGAUCCAGGAACCGGGAGGCUGUAUACGUCCAUCCAUACCUUUUGGGUGGCAGGGACUAGAAAAGUUGGGACUUUAACCUUCUUUCCCGAAGCUAGAAAAAUCUUCGCGGCAGCCAUGAAAUCCUCGGUCUUUCCUCCAGUACAUGAGCCUAUAUAUACUCUGUCAACUUUUACAUCUUUGCAUUCUCUCGCUAAAGCACGAUUAUCAGGAGAGUGUGGCUUUGCAACUAAUGGCUCCAACUUGGAGACAUCAAUCCUGUAUUCGUGCAUAAAUCUUGCAUUUUCAUCACUGUAUACGGGUUCAUAAUCCACAGAUGUCUUACCCUCAAGGUACCUAAAUGUAGUUUCAUCUGCAGGAAUAACCCCAUUCUUACCCCCUGCUUCGACAACCAUGUUGCACAAUGUCA
rnacentral:misc_RNA from 1 species